rnacentral:rRNA from 1 species
GACGAACGCCGGCGGCGUGCCUAAUACAUGCAAGUCGAACGCUUCUUUCCUCCCGAGUGCUUGCACUCAAUUGGAAAGAGGAGUGGCGGACGGGUGAGUAACACGUGGGUAACCUACCCAUCAGAGGGGGAUAACACUUGGAAACAGGUGCUAAUACCGCAUAACAGUUUAUGCCGCAUGGCAUAAGAGUGAAAGGCGCUUUCGGGUGUCGCUGAUGGAUGGACCCGCGGUGCAUUAGCUAGUUGGUGAGGUAACGGCUCACCAAGGCCACGAUGCAUAGCCGGCCUGAGAGGGUGAUCGGCCACACUGGGACUGAGACCCGGACCAGACUCCUACGGGAGGCAGCAGUAGGGAAUCUUCGGCAAUGGACGGAAGUCUGACCGAGCAACGCCGCGUGAGUGAAGAAGGUUUUCGGAUCGUAAAACUCUGUUGUUAGAGAAGAACAAGGACGUUAGUAACUGAACGUCCCCUGACGGUAUCUAACCAGAAAGCCACGGCUAACUACGUGCCAGCAGCCGCCGUAA